rnacentral:sRNA from 1 species
UCGCAAGAAUGAAACUCAAAGGAAUUGACGGGGGCCCGCACAAGCGGUGGAGCAUGUGGUUUAAUUCGAUGAUACGCGAGGAACCUUACCAGGGCUUAAAUGUAGUCUGACAGGGCCAGAAAUGGCUUUUUCUUCGGACAGAUUACAAGGUGCUGCAUGGUUGUCGUCAGCUCGUGCCGUGAGGUGUCAGGUUAAGUCCUAUAACGAGCGCAACCCCUGUUGUUAGUUGCCAUCGAGUAAUGUCGGGAACUCUAACAAGACUGCCAGUGCAAACUGUGAGGAAGGUGGGGAUGACGUCAAAUCAUCACGGCCCUUACGUCCUGGGCCACACACGUGCUACAAUGGUAGGGACAGAGAGCAGCCACUACGCGAGUAGGAGCGAAUCUAUAAACCCUAUCUCAGUUCGGAUCGGAGUCUGCAACUCGACUCCGUGAAGCUGGAAUCGCUAGUAAUCGGAUAUCAGCCAUGAUCCGGUGAAUACGUUCCCGGGCCUUGUACACACCGCCCGUCAAGCCAUGGAAGCUGGAAGCACCUGAAGUCCGUCACCGCAAGGAGCGGCCUAGGGUGAAGCUGGUAACUAGGGCUAAGUCGUAACAAGGUAGCCGUACCGGAAGGUGCGGCUGGAACACCUCCUUUCUAGAGAAAGAUACGACGUUGAGCUUGUAAGUUCAAUUACACACUCAUUGUGUUACCUUGGUUUAGUUGUCAAUUUUAAUAAUAUUUGAGAAUAUAGAGUAGAGAACAUAGAAUAUAGACGUUUCACUUUAUAGAUUAAGGUAAGAGAGUCUAUUCUCUAUACUCUAAUAUCUAUACUCUUUAAGACAGUCUCAUAGCUCAGCUGGUUAGAGCGCUACACUGAUAAUGUAGAGGUCGGCAGUUCGAGUCUGCCUGAGACUACAAAAAUUAAGUAUUUCUUCGGAAAUAUUAAGUUCAUACACACAUAUUGAAGGAAAUUUUAGAAGUUGGUUAAUACCAGUUUUACAGUACGCAGUAAGCGGUACGAAGUACGCAGCAUAAACACUGACUACUGGAUACUCACUACUAAAGACUUUAAAAUGGGGGAUUAGCUCAGCUGGCUAGAGCGCCUGCCUUGCACGCAGGAGGUCAUCGGUUCGACUCCGAUAUUCUCCACAAUUCCUAAGAAGUACUGGGGAUAGGUAACUGAAACAACCAAGGAAACAUACUACAAAUUUGUUAAAUAGUUUUCACUACCAUCGCUAUUAGUUUGUUAUAAAAGGAAAAACGUUCAUUGACAUAUUGAAAUAAGAAUACGAGAAAAGUAAUAAAUUAAAACUUUAGUAUUGAGUUUUUAGUUAUGAGUAUUGAGUUCGCUCACUACUCACUACUAUUAUCUCACUACUAAUUAUAAUAACUCAUUAAGAGCAAAAAAGUACAAUAAGCAAAAUAAGAGCGUAUGGGGAAUGCCUAGGCUCUCAGAGGCGAAGAAGGACGUGAUAAGCUGCGAUAAGCUGUGGGGAGAGGCACAUACUCUUUGAUCCGCAGAUUUCCGAAUGGGGCAACCCACUAUAUUGAAGAUAUAGUAUCCGCAAGGAGGCAAACCCGGAGAACUGAAACAUCUAAGUACCCGGAGGAAGAGAAAACAAAAGUGAUUGCGCUAGUAGCGGCGAGCGAACGCGCAAUAGCCCAAACCAGUAUUGUUACGGCAAUGCUGGGGUUGUAGGACCACGACAUUAGAAGCAGGAUGAAUUAGAACACUUUGGAAAGAGUGGCCAUAGACGGUGAUAGCCCGGUAUAAGUAAAGAAUGUGGAUAUAGUGGUAUCCUGAGUAGUGCGGGGCACGUGAAACCCUGUAUGAAUCCGGCGGGACCAUCCGCCAAGGCUAAAUACUCCUGAGAGACCGAUAGUGAACUAGUACCGUGAGGGAAAGGUGAAAAGAACCCUGAAUAAGGGAGUGAAAUAGAUCCUGAAACCAUACGCUUACAAGCGGUCGGAGCACGCCUCGGCGUGUGACGGCGUGCCUUUUGCAUAAUGAGCCUACGAGUUACUGUUGUUAGCAAGGUUAAGAACUUUAGGUUCGGAGCCGUAGCGAAAGCGAGUCUGAAUAGGGCGCCAUAGUUAGCAGUAGUAGACGCGAAACCGUGUGAUCUACCCUUGGGCAGGUUGAAGCUGUGGUAACACACAGUGGAGGACCGAACCCGUUGACGUUGAAAAGUCUUGGGAUGACCUGAGGGUAGGGGUGAAAGGCCAAUCAAACUCGGAAAUAGCUCGUACUCCCCGAAAUGCAUUUAGGUGCAGCGUUGAUAUUAGUUUUAUAGAGGUAGAGCUACUGAUUGGAUGCGGGGGCUUCACCGCCUACCAAUUCCUGACAAACUCCGAAUGCUAUAAAAUAUAAUCAGCAGUGAGGGCAUGGGUGCUAAGGUCCAUGUCCGAGAGGGAAAGAACCCAGACCAUCAGCUAAGGUCCCCAAAUGUAUGUUAAGUUGAAUAAACGAGGUUGGAUUGCACAGACAGCUAGGAUGUUGGCUUGGAAGCAGCCAUUC